CAUGGCUCAGGAUGAACGCUGACAGAAUGCUUAACACAUGCAAGUCUUUGGCGAAUCUGUGCUUGCACAGCCUAGCCAAGGCGGACGGGUGAGUAACGCGUAAAGAACUUGCCCUGCAGACAGGGAUAACAGACGGAAACGACUGAUAACACCUGAUACAAUUGCCGGCACGCAUGUGCCUGGCAAUGAAAAGAGAUGCUGCAGGAGAGCUUUGCGUCCUAUUAGCUUGUUGGUGAGGUAACGGCUCACCAAGGCGAUGAUAGGUAGCCGGCCUGAGAGGGUGAACGGCCACAAGGGGACUGAGAUACGGCCCUUACUCCUACGG
rnacentral:rRNA from 1 species